rnacentral:tRNA from 1 species
GGAUAAAUGGCUGAGUGGCUAAAAGCAUCAAUUUUGAAAAUUGACAUGAAUUUAUUUAUCGUAGGUUCGAAUCCUACUUUAUCCA